rnacentral:rRNA from 1 species
AUUGAACGCUGGCGGCAUGCCUUACACAUGCAAGUCGAACGGCAGCACGGGAGCAAUCCUGGUGGCGAGUGGCGAACGGGUGAGUAAUAUAUCGGAACGUGGCCCAGUCGUGGGGAUAACGUAGCGAAAGCUACGCUAAUACCGCAUACGAUCUAUGGAUGAAAGCGGGGGAUCGCAAGACCUCGCGCGAUUGGAGCGGCCGAUAUCAGAUUAGGUAGUUGGUGAGGUAAAGGCUCACCAAGCCGACGAUCUGUAGCUGGUCUGAGAGGACGACCGAGCCACACUGGGACUGAGACACGGCCCAGACUCCUACGGGAGGGCAGCAGUGGGGAAUUUUGGACAAUGGGCGCAAGCCUGAUCCAGCAAUGCCGCGUGCAGGAUGAAGGCCCUCGGGUUGUAAACUGCUUUUGUACGGAACGAAAGGUUUCUAUUAAUACUAGGAGCGUCAUGACGGUACCGUAAGAAUAAGCACCGGCUAACUACGUCG